UUUCCGUAGGUGAACCUGCGGAAGGAUCACUAAAGAGAACUGCCUUCGGGCUAAUCUCCCACCCUUUGUUUACAUUACCUUUGUUGCUUUGGCAGGCCCGUCUUCGGACCGCUGGCCCCGGCUAGUCCGUGCCUGCCAGAGGACCCAAAACUCAUAUUAUUAAUGUCGUCUGAGUACUAUAUAAUAGUUAAAACUUUCAACAACGGAUCUCUUGGUUCUG
rnacentral:misc_RNA from 1 species